GAGAGUAGGCACAGCAGGGCUAAACACAAGGAUUAUUGGAGCAACAAGAGGUUUGAGGUGCCUGUAAAGUUUUCAAAAAGUUGUACAGUGCCAGGUUGUUUGCAUAUGAUUUCUAAUGAUCCUAACAUUAGACUCAGCUUGACACAGACUUUGCAGAUAGACUUAAAUCAAAAGCUGAUGCAGUGCCAGCUAUAUUGGACCCGGCAGUAAUGUCACAACAGACAAGUAACCUGGUGACUUUGGUGCACUGAGAUCUUCUAACACCCUGUAAAGAAAGAAAGAAAUGGUUACAAAAUAUGGCCUGGAAAAGCUAAUGGUUUUGGCAAGGUG